rnacentral:lncRNA from 1 species
AAGGUCCCUGCCAUGCGAUAUCUAAUCAGAAUGUCAAUAUGAGAAAAUUAGUGAUUUAGGGAAAGUGUUCUUCAAUUUACAUCUGUAUCCAUGUGAGAAGGAAAGAGGAAGAGGAAGAGGAAGAAGAGGAGGAAGAGGAGGAAGAAUCACUGUCCUAAGGAUACCCUAUUGUAAGAUCAUCAAAAGGAAAAUAAAAGCACCCCUCUUUAGGGCAAUUCAUGUCGUCACAGGUGGCCCCACCCUCCAGAGCCUUCACCUGAGUGUAUUGCAAGCCAACUCUCCAGUUAUUUCUUAAAAAUAAAAUGAUCCUUAAAUGAUGUGAUGGUCAACCACGAUACUAGAGUUGUUAGCUUUCAUUGGAC